rnacentral:misc_RNA from 1 species
UCAACCAUCAAGCCUUGCUUGGUAUUGGGUGUCGUCCCUGCUGCGGACGCUCCCUAAAGUAAUCGGCGGUGGUGUUGAACCUCAAGCGUAGUAGAAUCUCCAGCUUUCUAGGUGAGACGCCGCUCGGCCUCGAGAAACCCCAAUCUUAA